rnacentral:rRNA from 1 species
AUGAACUCCUCCUCUGCACCGGGACCGGAUGGCCUCCCUGUGAGAUUCUUCCAGGCCUUCUGGAACGUGAUUAAACCGGAGGUCAUGGCUAUCUUCGACGAGUUCUACGUUGGCUCCAUUGAUCUCGGGCGACUCAACUACGGGAUCAUCUCGCUCAUCCCGAAGGUUACCGGGGCGUCUGACAUUCGCCAAUUUCGGCCGAUCACGGUCAUUAAUGUCACCUUCCGGAUCCUGGCUAAAGGGUACGCCAAUAGGGUGACCCUGCUGGCCGACCGUGUCAUGCAUCCCAACCAGACGACUUUCAUUAAGGGCCCGUACAUCCUGGAUGGGGUGCUAGUCCUUCAUGAAGUCCUCCAUGAGGUCCGCUCCAAAAACCUCAAGGUGGUCUUUCUGAAGAUUGACUUCCAUAAAGCUUACGACACGGUUAGCUGGCCCUUCCUUAGGGAGGUCCUUCUUCGGAAGGGCUUUGACGACCGGUGGAUUACUCGUGUCAUGCAAAUGGUCACGUGCGGUCGUACGGCCGUGAACAUCAAUGGCGAGAUUGGCCCUUUCUUCCCCACUAAGGGAGUCCCGGACUAG